rnacentral:lncRNA from 1 species
CUUUUUCCACUCUGCUCUUCCUCCAGCUGCGCAACGUGAUCCACAGAUUCCACUGAGGAGAAAAAUGGAGAAAGACUAUGGAGAAAAGAGUGGAGUCAAGAGAAAGAAGCAAGCUUUACUAAAGAGAAAGUCUAUGAGAUGGCUAGGAGGUCCCAUUUAUUAAUUUCUGAUCUCAGUGUCUGUGCUGCUGGUGUUAUCUUAGGAAGCGGUCUCCUGCACCAAUCCGUUCAAGGGUACCACCUACCUUCUCUUCUCAAUGUGGCUGGAUUUAUGUUGAGGUCUUUGAUCCAUUUGGACUUGUUUUUUGCAUGGUGAUAGAUAUGGAUCUGUCUGCAGUCUUCUACAUGCCAGCAUCCUAGACACACUGGGGAGGAUCUAGGCAUUGCUCCAAAUGAUAUGACAGACUUUGAAGAUAUCCCAUGGAAGGCCUCACCCUCCCAGGAGAGCAGAAACGGGUUGGGACAGGGGGUCGGUGAG